UGAGGAAUGUUGGGCAAUGCCCGAAAGGGUGACCCAGCAACGCCGCGUGGAGGAUGAAGGUCGUAAGAUUGUAAACUCCUGUUAGAGGGGAAGAAUAACUAAGUUUGGAGCUUAGUAUGACUGUACCCUCAGAGAAAGCCCCGGCUAACUACGUGCCAGCAGCCGCGGUAAUACGUAGGGGGCAAGCGUUGUCCGGAUUUACUGGGUGUAAAGGGCGCGCAGGCGGAAUGGAAAGUCAGUGGUGAAAUCCUACAGCUUAACUGUAGAACUGCCUUUGAUACUUUCAUUCUUGAGUUCGGGAGAGAGAGACGGAAUUCCAAGUGUAGUGGUGAAAUACGUAGAUAUCUGGAAGAACACCAGUUGCGAAGGCGGUCUCUUGGUCCGAUACUGACGCUGAGGCGCGAAAGCGUGGGGAGCAAACA
rnacentral:rRNA from 1 species